CGACGACUUCGGUUAUCGGGAAAAGCGGCAGACGGCUGAGUAACGCGUGAGUAACCUGCCCUUCGGUGGGGUAUAACCUCGAGAAAUUGGGGAUAAUCCCGCAUACGAUCCGCCCGCCUUGGUAGGCGGAUGAAAGCUACGAUUCGUCGUGGCGCCGGGGGAGGGGCUCGCGUCCUAUCAGGUAGUUGGUGAGGUAACGGCUCACCAAGCCGAUGACGGGUAGCUGGUCUGAGAGGACGACCAGCCAGAGGGGGACUGAGACACGGCCCCCACUCCUACGGGAGGCAGCAGCAGGGAAUUUUGGGCAAUGGACGAAAGUCUGACCCAGCGACGUCGCGUGGGGGAUGAAGGCCUUUGGGCUGUAAACCCCUUUUCCAAGGGAAGAGGAAGGACGGUACCUUGGGAAUAAGCUCCGGCUAACUACGUGCCAGCAGCCGCGGUAAUACGUAGGGAGCGAGCGUUACCCGGAAUCACUGGGCGUAAAGAGAGCGUAGGCGGCUGGGUAAGUCUCUUGUGAAAGCUCCCGGCUUAACUGGGAGAGGUCAAGGGAUACUACUCGGCUGG
rnacentral:rRNA from 1 species